AUUGAACGCUGGCGGCGUGCCUAAUACAUGCAAGUCGAACGGAAAGGCCUCUUCGGAGGUACUCGAGUGGCGGACGGCUGAGUAACGCGUAGGAAUGUACCCCAAAAUGAGGAAUAACUGCCCGAAAGGGUAGCUAAUACCGCAUGUGCUCUAAGGAGUAAAGCUUCGGCGCUUUGGGAACAGCCUGCGUAAGAUUAGCUUGUUGGUGAGGUAAUGGCUCACCAAGGCGACGAUCUUUAGCUGGUCUGAGAGGAUGAUCAGCCAGACUGGGACUGAGACACGGCCCAGACUCCUACGGGAGGCAGCAGUAGGGAAUUUUCCACAAUGGACGAAAGUCUGAUGGAGCAACGCCGCGUGCAGGAUGAAGGCCCUUGGGUUGUAAACUGCUUUUAUAUGUGAAGAAAAUGACGGUAGCAUAUGAAUAAGGAUCAGCUAACUCCGUGCCAGCCGCCGCGGUAA
rnacentral:rRNA from 1 species